CCUACGGGAGGCAGCAGUGNGGAAUAUUGCACAAUGGAGGAAACUCUGAUGCAGCAACGCCGCGUGGAGGAUGACGCAUUUCGGUGUGUAAACUCCUUUUAUUAGGGAAGAUAAUGACGGUACCUAAUGAAUAAGCACCGGCUAACU
rnacentral:rRNA from 1 species